GACGAACCGUGCGAACGUUAUUCGGAAUCACUGGGCUUAAAGCGCGUGUAGGCGGGCCGGCACGUCGGUCGCUGAAAUCCCCCGGCUCAACCGGGGAAGGGGCGCCGAUACGACCGGCCUGGAGGGGCGUAGGGGGACCUGGAACUUCCGGUGGAGCGGUGAGAUGCGUUGAGAUCGGAAGGAACGCCCGUGGCGAAAGCGAGGUCCUGGACGCCUGCUGACGCUGAGACGCGAAAGCCAGGGGAGCGAACGGG
rnacentral:rRNA from 1 species